UACGGGGGGGGCAAGCGUUGUUCGGAAUUACUGGGCGUAAAGGGCUCGUAGGCGGCCAACUAAGUCAGACGUGAAAUCCCUCGGCUUAACCGGGGAACUGCGUCUGAUACUGGAUGGCUUGAGUUUGGGAGAGGGAUGCGGAAUUCCAGGUGUAGCGGUGAAAUGCGUAGAUAUCUGGAGGAACACCGGUGGCGAAGGCGCCUAGCUGGACAGAUACUGACACUCAACUACGAAAGCGUGGGGAGCAAACAGG
rnacentral:rRNA from 1 species